UACGUAGGGUGCGAGCGUUAAUCGGAAUUACUGGGCGUAAAGUGUGCGCAGGCGGCCGAGCAAGUCGAGUGUGAAAGCCCCGAGCUUAACUUGGGAAUUGCGCUCGAAACUACUUGGCUGGAGUGUGGCAGAGGAAGGUGGAAUUCCAGGUGUAGCGGUGAAAUGCGUAGAGAUCUGGAGGAACACCGAUGGCGAAGGCAGCCUCUGGGCCAACACUGACGCUCAUGCACGAAAGCGUGGGGAGCAAACAGG
rnacentral:rRNA from 1 species